GCGGAGGUUGCCGAGCUAGGUCAAAGGCGGCAGACUCAAGAUCUGCUUCCGUAGGGGUUCGCCGGUUCGAAUCCGGCCCUCCGCA
rfam:Thermoplasmatales archaeon Gpl AMDT5_GPLC00001, whole genome shotgun sequence.